AUUGAACGCUAGCGGCAGGCCUAACACAUGCAAGUCGAACGAGCGGCGGACGGGUGAGUAAUGUAUGGGAAACUGCCCGAUGGAGGGGGAUCACUACUGGAAACGGUAGCUAAUACCGCAUACCAUCGGAUGUGCCCAGAUGGGCUUAGCUAGUAGGUGGGGUAACGGCUCACCUGGGCGACGAUCCCUAGCUGGUCUGAGAGGAUGACCAGCAACACGGGAACUGAGACAGGGUCCAGACUCCUACGGGAGGCAGCAGUGGGGAAUAUUGCACAAUGGGCGCAAGCAUUGUGCAGCCAUGCAGCGUGUAUGAAGAAGGCCGUCGGGUUGUAAAGUACUUUCAGCGAGGAGGCGUUACUCGCAGAAGAAGCACCGGAUAACUCCGUGACAGCAGCCGCGGUAAUAC
rnacentral:rRNA from 1 species